GGCCGCCGAGGCGGGGGAGCCCGGCCACUUCCUCGCCCUCGGUUGCUGCGGAGUUUGCACGGGGCUCGCUCGGCGCCCAGCCGGGAGCAGCUGAGUGUUCAUGAGCAACCGUAUAAUAACUCUGAACAUGUGAUGAAGGAAAAUAACAUUUGAUCCCACAAUAGACUGAGACAACUCUGCUUACAGAGCAGUCACCCUUACAGAGCAAAAGUGAAGAGCAAGAAGUUAGCCUGCAUGUCAUCCCAGCAGGAGUGGAGGUCCUCUCUCACCCUGCAGAAAAGGCUGCCCUUACCUGGCAUAAGGACAUAGCGGCGAUAAUGGGUCAGUCCAAAGGUCCAUCUAGCCCAGUAUCCUGUCUUCUGACAGUGGCCAAUGCCAGAUGCCCCAGAGGGAAUGAACAGAACAGGUAAUCAUCAAGUGACCCACCCCCGUCACCCAUUCCCAGUUUCUGGCAAACAGAGGCUAGGGAUGCCAACCCUGCCCUUCCUGGUUAGUAGCCAGUGAUGGACCUAU